UCGCCUGUUUAUCAAAAACAUGGUUUCUUGAAAGAAAUAAGAAAUUUAACCUGCCCACUGAAAUGUAAUUAAAGGGCUGCAGUAAUUUGACUGUACAAAGGUAGCAUAAUCAUUAGUCUUCUAAUUGGAGGCUGGAAUGAAUGGUUGGACGAGGUAAAAGCUAUUUUAUAUUAAAAUGUUGAAAUUUGAUGUUAAGUAAAAAGACUUAAAUAUCAUUAAGGGACGAGAAGACCCUAUAGAGUUUAAUAAAUGUAAUUUUGAUUAAGUUUUUAAUAAAUUUUUGGUUAUUAGGAAAUUUAUUUGGUUGGGGUGAUGAAAAGAUAAAAUAACUCUUUUUUAAAUUAAAUUUAAAUAAAUAGAAAAAUGAUCCAUUUAUAAUGAUUAAAAGAUUAAAUUACCUUAGGGAUAACAGCAUAAUUUCUUUUAAGAGUUCUUAUCAAAAGAGAAGAUUAUGACCUCGAUGUUGGAUUAAGAUAAAUUUUGGGUGUAGAUGUUCAAGUAAUUAGGUCUGUUCGACCUUAAAAAUCUUACAUGAUCUGAGUUCAAACCGGAGA
rnacentral:rRNA from 1 species